UACAGAGGUCUCAAGCGUUGUUCGGAUUCAUUGGGCGUAAAGGGUGCGUAGGUGGCGAGGUAAGUCGGAUGUGAAAUCUCCAAGCUUAACUUGGAAAUGGCAUUGGAAACUACCUGGCUUGAGGUUUGGAGGGGGGACUGGAAUACUUGGUGUAGCAGUGAAAUGCGUAGAUAUCAAGUGGAACACCAGUGGCGAAGGCGAGUCCCUGGACAACACCUGACACUGAGGCACGAAAGCUAGGGGAGCAAACAGG
rnacentral:rRNA from 1 species